GACGUAGGGCGCGAGCGUUGUCCGGAAUUAUUGGGCGUAAAGCGCACGUAGGCGGUUCGUUAAGUCGGAUGUGAAAGCCCUCGGCUCAACUGAGGAAGUGCACCCGAAACUGGCGAGCUUGAGUACGAAAGAGGAUCGCGGAAUUCCCGGUGUAGAGGUGAAAUUCGUAGAUAUCGGGAGGAACACCGGUGGCGAAGGCGGCGAUCUGGGUCGAUACUGACGCUGAGGUGCGAAAGCGUGGGGAGCAAACAGG
rnacentral:rRNA from 1 species